GUCAUGAUGUUGUCAACGGUGUGGCUGAGGCAGAAGGUGUAACCAAAUAUGAUGCAGGUGAAGCUGCUGCAGAUCAGAAAGAGCAAAAAGGUUCAACAACCAUGAAAUCCUAGCUGAGGACGUGCGAGACUGGGAUAUAGCCAGUGACCGGGGGCAAGGGCAGCGUGCGCAGGGUGAUCGACGAGGACUACUGUGGCCCGAUGGGAGUCGUGCUCUUCAACUACUCGGAGGCAGACUUCACCGUGAAGCCCCAC